rnacentral:rRNA from 1 species
AGAGUUUGAUCAUGGCUCAGGAUGAACGCUAGCGGCAGGCUUAACACAUGCAAGUCGAGGGGUAGAGUUCUUCGGAACUUGAGACCGGCGCACGGGUGCGUAACGCGUAUGCAAUCUACCUUUUACAGAGGGAUAGCCCAGAGAAAUUUGGAUUAAUACCUCAUAGUAUAGCACAACCGCAUGGUUGAGUUAUUAAAGUCACAACGGUAAAAGAUGAGCAUGCGUCCCAUUAGCUUGUUGGUAAGGUAACGGCUUACCAAGGGCUACGAUGGGUACGAGGGUCCUGAGAGGGAGAUCCCCCACACUGGUACUGAGACACGGACCAGACUCCUACGGGAGGCAGCAGUGAGGAAUAUUGGACAAUGGGCGCAAGCCUGAUCCAGCCAUGCCGCGUGCAGGAUGACGGUCCUAUGGAUUGUAAACUGCUUUUGCACAGGAAGAAACAACGCUACGUGUAGCGUCUUGACGGUACUGUGAAAAUAAGGAUCGGCUAACUCCGUGCCAGCAGCCGCGGUAAUACGGAGGAUCCAAGCGUUAUCCGGAAUCAUUGGGUUUAAAGGGUCCGUAGGCGGUUUAGUAAGUCAGUGGUGAAAGCCCAUCGCUCAACGGUGGAACGGCCAUUGAUACUGCUAGACUUGAAUUAUUAGGAAGUAACUAGAAUAUGUAGUGUAGCGGUGAAAUGCUUAGAGAUUACAUGGAAUACCAAUUGCGAAGGCAGGUUACUACUAAUUGAUUGACGCUGAUGGACGAAAGCGUGGGUAGCGAACAGGAUUAGAUACCCUGGUAGUCCACGCCGUAAACGAUGGAUACUAGCUGUUGGGAGCGAUCUCAGUGGCUAAGCGAAAGUGAUAAGUAUCCCACCUGGGGAGUACGUUCGCAAGAAUGAAACUCAAAUGAAUUGACGG